rnacentral:rRNA from 1 species
UUUAUGACAAUGGGGGAAACCGCGAUCCAGCGAUCCCGCGUGUAUGAUAAAAGCCUUCGGGUUGCAAAUUACUCUUGGUAGAGUAGUAAAAGCAUCACUUACUACGAGAUGCUGCUGACGGUAUCUGCAGAAUAAUCCCCAGCUAACUCCGUGCCAGCACCCGCGGUAAUACGUAGGGUGCGAGAGUUAAGCGGAAUUACUGGGCGUAAAGGGUGUGUAGGCGGGUCGGAAAGAAAGAUGUGAAAUCCCAGGGCUCAACCUUGGAACUGCAUUUUUAACUGCCUAGCUAGAGUGAGUCAGAGGGGGGUAGAAUUCCACGUGUAGCAGUGAAAUGCGUAGAUAUGUGGAGGAAUACCGAUGGCGAAGGCAGCUCCCUGGGAUGAUACUGACGCUCAGACACGAAAGCGUGGGUAGCAAACAGG